AUCCGAUCUACAAAUAACAAAGUGAGGACCAAGAGUUACCGCCGGAUUUGAUCUGACAGGGAACUUUUUGAUGUUCAAAUCUGACCAAGCUUUUGGGAAUAGUAGAUAUUCGAGAAAAUUAUGAGUAGAAUAAACAAGGGUAGCACAGUGUAAAUAUAAAUAUGAGUAUAUCUAGAAGUUCUCCAAGAUUAUUUUGUAUAGAAUGAGGAUUGGUGUCUGUUACUAGGA
rnacentral:lncRNA from 1 species